UAAUGAAUAACUUUUAUUUUUUAUAGAUUUUGGCAUAUUGCAUAUUGCCAAGGGAGAUGUUAACUGAGGAUUCCAUGCCAUUAAUGUGCAGGCUGUUGCUGACGCCAGCAUGAGCAAUAUCUGAGCACCAAUGAUGAGGGUCAUCUGCUGGGAGAUAGUGGGUAUCCUUUAAGGACUAACCUGAUGACCUCUUAACCUCAUCCCUCCCAUGCUGCGGAACAGGCCUACAAUGACCAUCUAUGUAGAGGAUAUCUGCAUGCCACUGGUGGAUGUUGGCCUUUCAAGUCCAAUAAGUGCUGUGAAAUAUCAAAUGUG